rnacentral:rRNA from 1 species
AUCAACUUUCGAUGGUAGGAUAGAGGCCUACCAUGGUGGUAACGGGUAACGGGGUGUUAGGGCACGACACCGGAGAGGGAGCCUGAGAAACGGCUACCACAUCCAAGGAUGGCAGCAGGCGCGCAAAUUACCCAAUCCCGACACGGGGAGGUAGUGACAAUAAAUAACAAUACGGGGUUCUUAAGGAUCUCGUAAUUGGAAUGAGUACAAUUUAAAUCUCUUAACGAGGAACAAUUGGAGGGCAAGUCUGGUGCCAGCAGCCGCGGUAAUUCCAGCUCCAAUAGCGUAUAUUAAAGUUGUUGCAGUUAAAAAGCUCGUAGUUGAAUUUCGGGAUCAAUUUGUCGGUCGUGCCUCGGUACGUACUGGCAUUAUUGGUUUCUACCUUCUGAAGAACCUUGAUGUCAUUAAUUUGGUGUCUUGGGGAAUCAGGACUGUUACUUUGAAAAAAUUAGAGUGUUUAAAGCAGGCAUACGCUUGAAUACAUUAGCAUGGAAUAAUGAAAUAGGACGUUUGAUUCUAUUUUGUUGGUUUCUAGGAUCGACGUAAUGAUUAAUAGGGAUAGUUGGGGGCAUUAGUAUUCAAUUGUCAGAGGUGAAAUUCUUGGAUUUAUUGAAGACUAACUACUGCGAAAGCAUUUGCCAAGGAUGUUUUCAUUAAUCAAGAACGAAAGUUAGGGGAUCGAAGACGAUCAGAUACCGUCGUAGUCUUAACCAUAAACUAUGCCGACUAGGGAUCGGAUGAUGUUAUUUUUAAUGACUCAUUCGGCGCCUUACGGGAAACCAAAGUGUUUGGGUUC